UUCUAUAUGAUUUUUACAAAAUUUAGAUUUUUAUAUUUCUUUUUUAUUGUUUGAAGGUUUUCACUUAAACUAGUUAGAAGAUAUGUUUGUAAAGAAACUGGAACAUUCAUAUCACAUAAGAAAUAAUUAAUGUACUAACUGUAUAGUAAAUAAAAAGGUACAUCUCAAACUUAUUAAUUGUUUAUGUUUUUACUUGCAUGAGCUUAGAUGGUGUCCUUAUAUUGACUUUAACAUUUGAUUAGUGGUUUAAUAAUCAUAUUAGUGUUUGAAGUGUUUAUCAAUGUGUAAUCAAG
rnacentral:lncRNA from 1 species